rnacentral:rRNA from 1 species
GAUGAACGCUAGCUACAGGCUUAACACAUGCAAGUCGAGGGACCGGCGCACGGGUGAGUAACACGUAUCCAACCUGCCCUUUACUCGGGGAUAGCCUUUCGCAAGAAAGAUUAAUACCCGAUAUAACGGAUGGGGAUGCGUUCCAUUAGGUUGUUGGUGAGGUAACGGCCCACCAAGCCUAAGAUGGCUAGGGGUUCUGAGAGGAAGGCUCCUCACAGUGGAACGGAGUCACGGGCCAAACGCAGACGGGACGCAGCAGUGAGGAAUAUUGGUCAAGGGGCGGUAGCCUGAACCAGCCAAGUAGCGUGAAGGAUGAAGGCUUAUGGGUCGUAAACUUCUUUUAGAUAAGAAUAUGUAUUAUAUGAAUAAGGAUCGGCUAACUCCGUGCCAGCCGCCGCGGUAAUUC